GAGUUUGAUCAUGGCUCAGAUUGAACGCUGGCGGCAUGCCUUACACAUGCAAGUCGAACGGCAGCAUGAUCUAGCUUGCUAGAUUGAUGGCGAGUGGCGAACGGGUGAGUAAUACAUCGGAACGUGCCCUGUAGUGGGGGAUAACUAGUCGAAAGAUUAGCUAAUACCGCAUACGACCUGAGGGUGAAAGUGGGGGACCGCAAGGCCUCAUGCUAUAGGAGCGGCCGAUGUCUGAUUAGCUAGUUGGUGAGGUAAAGGCUCACCAAGGCGACGAUCAGUAGCUGGUCUGAGAGGACGAUCAGCCACACUGGGACUGAGACACGGCCCAGACUCCUACGGGAGGCAGCAGUGGGGAAUUUUGGACAAUGGGCGAAAGCCUGAUCCAGCAAUGCCGCGUGUGUGAAGAAGGCCUUCGGGUUGUAAAGCACUUUUGUCCGGAAAGAAAUGGCUCUGGUUAAUACCUGGGGUCGAUGACGGUACCGGAAGAAUAAGGACCGGCUAACUACGUGCCAGCAGCCGCGGUAAUACGUAGGGUCCAAGCGUUAAUCGGAAUUACUGGGCGUAAAGCGUGCGCAGGCGGUUGUGCAAGACCGAUGUGAAAUCCCCGAGCUUAACUUGGGAAUUGCAUUGGUGACUGCACGGCUAGAGUGUGUCAGAGGGGGGUAGAAUUCCACGUGUAGCAGUGAAAUGCGUAGAGAUGUGGAGGAAUACCGAUGGCGAAGGGCAGCCCCCUGGGAUAACACUGACGCUCAUGCACGAAAAGCGUGGGGAGCAAACAGGAUUAGAUACCCUGGUAGUCCACGCCCUAAACGAUGUCAACUAGUUGUUGGGGAUUCAUUUCCUUAGUAACGUAGCUAACGCGUGAAGUUGACCGCCUGGGGAGUACGGUCGCAAGAUUAAAACUCAAAGGAAUUGACGGGGACCCGCACAAGCGGUGGAUGAUGUGGAUUAAUUCGAUGCAACGCGAAAAACCUUACCUACCCUUGACAUGCCACUAACGAAGCAGAGAUGCAUUAGGUGCUCGAAAGAGAAAGUGGACACAGGUGCUGCAUGGCUGUCGUCAGCUCGUGUCGUGAGAUGUUGGGUUAAGUCCCGCAACGAGCGCACCCCUUGUCCCUAGUUGCUACGAAAGGGCACUCUAGAGAGACUGCCGGUGACAAACCGGAGGAAGGUGGGGAUGACGUCAAGUCCUCAUGGCCCUUAUGGGUAGGGCUUCACACGUCAUACAAUGGUGCAUACAGAGGGUUGCCAAGCCGCGAGGUGGAGCUAAUCCCAGAAAAUGCAUCGUAGUCCGGAUCGUAGUCUGCAACUCGACUACGUGAAGCUGGAAUCGCUAGUAAUCGCGGAUCAGCAUGCCGCGGUGAAUACGU
rnacentral:rRNA from 1 species